AUGUAUGCUCUUAAAAGUUGAAGAUAAAUUGUGGUCACAUAUUUACAUAUUUAUAUCACUUGACACUCCUUUCAUUGGCUGUUUAGUGGUCUUUUGUUUGGGGUGGGUGUAUGGCUCACCACUGACUUUUGCCUGUUUUAACCUCUUUGCUUUGCCAGGAAUGGAGCUAGAGCCAAGCAAAGCAAACAAAAGACUUGCUUUUCAGUUACAUCUCAUGGGUACCGUUUUCACCAUUGGAGCGUGAACCAGGCAAAGUUGGGUGUCCUAAAGCCUGUGGCAUUUGAUCACCCUCCUGUCCACAUGCCUCCAGUGCUUCCAAGCAGGCUGGGGGGAGGAAGGCCUGUGUGAGCCCUGGGAGAUCUCUGGAAAAGUCAGGGUACCACUGGGCUCCUGGUAGUGGGAGAUUUCCCACUGUUUCCUGGCUCUGUGUUGAGGUUCCAGAUGUGGUGAGGAGCUGACCAUGGCUGACCCUGCCCAGCGGGCAUCCAGUAUGAGCUCCUGUAUGAGUAUAGCUGCAGUGGCAGGGCCGUGCUAUGCUCUUACUAGUGCCUGGCACUCAAAACCUACUGUAACUAGGGUCCCCUUCCGAGGCUGGAAAGAAUUGUCCCAGUACAUACUGUGGGUUUCCUCUGAUGCCAGCCCGUUUCAGUUCAAAAGUCACCUGUGUAUUUUUUGUCCUCCUUCCCAUUCCGGUAGCCCACCAGGUGGGAGCUGCACCCCGAGUGCAGGGUGCACUUACGCGGUGGGGAACCAUGACUUUGUAGAGGCGUACAAAUGCCAGACUGUCAUCGUCCAGUCAUUCCUGCGUGCAUUUCAAGCCCACAAAGAAGAAAACUGGGCUCUGCCUGUCAUGUAUGCUGUAGCGCUUGACCUUCGAAUAUUUGCCAAUAAUGCAGACCAGCAGUUGGUAAAGAAAGGGAAGAGCAAAGUUGGAGACAUGCUGGAAAAAGCUGCUGAGUUGCUGAUGAGCUGCUUCCGCGUCUGUGCCAGUGACACUCGGGCUGGCAUUGAGGACUCAAAGAAGUGGGGGAUGCUGUUCCUGGUGAACCAGCUCUUCAAGAUCUACUUUAAGAUCAACAAGCUGCACCUGUGCAAGCCCCUCAUCAGAGCCAUCGACAGCUCAAACCUGAAAGAUGAGUAUAGCACUGCCCAGAGGGUGACGUUCAGGUACUACGUUGGGCGUAAGGCCAUGUUCGACAGCGACUUCAAGCAAGCUGAGGAGUACCUGUCCUUUGCCUUCGAGCACUGUCACCGCUCAAGUCAGAAGAACAAAAGGAUGAUUCUGAUAUAUUUGCUUCCAGUAAAAAUGCUGCUGGGUCACAUGCCGACCAUCGAGCUGUUGAGGAAGUACCAUCUCAUGCAGUUUGCCGAGGUGACCAAAGCUGUCAGUGAAGGCAACCUUCUGCUCUUGAACGAGGCCCUGACGAAGCAUGAGACCUUCUUUAUUCGCUGCGGCAUCUUCCUCAUCCUUGAGAAGCUGAAGAUAAUCACCUACAGGAAUCUUUUCAAGAAAGUGUUGCCGGCUCAGCCUCCAGAGUGCUGGCGUCCUGUCAGUAACCUGCGUAGACCUGUGCUUCCCCUCCCAGGUACCUGCUACUCAGAACACACCAGCUGUCUCUGGACGCUUUUCUGGUGGCCUUGAAGUUCAUGCAGGUGGAAGACGUGGACAUUGACGAGGUGCAGUGUAUCCUGGCCAACCUGAUCUACAUGGGUCACAUCAAAGGCUACAUAUCACAUCAGCAUCAGAAGCUCGUUGUUAGCAAACAAAACCCGUUCCCUCCGCUGUCGACAGUGUGUUGAGUGUACACCCGGCCCUGAGGAUGGGAGGGCAGUGGAGUCCUCUAGGUUUAUCUGUACCGAUGGACUCGGCCCUGUGCCAAGAGGGUACUCUGCAGCCGGACCCUCCAGGGCUCAUUGGCCAGCACACACAGAUGCCUUGACACCUCCGUGGUCACUCACAACUACAUCCACCCUGUGGACACCUGGAGCUCCUUGAGGAAGCACGGGCACAUCCAUUGACAUUGGAGCUGGGGACACGUUCGUGAAGGGGUUCUGUCCCCAGGGCAGCUCUGGCUCAUUGCAUAGCCGUCGUGCAUGAGGGAGUCUUUGUUUCUAUGCACCUCUUUCUAGGAGAUGUCAUCCUGAAUUUAUGCAGAUGGUAUAUUCCUUAUUUUAUCUUCUUAACGUAACAUUUUUAUAUGUUAAAUUUCAACAUUGUAUGUGAUUAUAAUGCUUUGGUUAACCUAAGGCUUCUUUUUACAAAAUGAAUUUACUUUGAUAACUUCCCAUGUUUUAUAGCUCACCAUUUUUCAGAGUUUGCACAUCUUCUCUGUUUAUAUGAAGCUUAGUAAAGAAGGAAACACCCUAAA